rnacentral:rRNA from 1 species
GUGGGGAAUAUUGGACAAUGGGCGAAAGCCUGAUCCAGCCAUGCCGCGUGUGUGAAGAAGGUCUUCGGAUUGUAAAGCACUUUAAGUUGGGAGGAAGGGCAGUAAGUUAAUACCUUGCUGUUUUGACGUUACCGACAGAAUAAGCACCGGCUAACUUCGUGCCAGCAGCCGCGGUAAUACGAAGGGUGCAAGCGUUAAUCGGAAUUACUGGGCGUAAAGCGCGCGUAGGUGGUUCGUUAAGUUGGAUGUGAAAGCCCCGGGCUCAACCUGGGAACUGCAUCCAAAACUGGCGAGCUAGAGUACGGUAGAGGGUGGUGGAAUUUCCUGUGUAGCGGUGAAAUGCGUAGAUAUAGGAAGGAACACCAGUGGCGAAGGCGACCACCUGGACUGAUACUGACACUGAGGUGCGAAAGCGUGGGGAGCAAAUCAGGAUUAGAUACCCCUGUAGUCC